AACGUAGGAGACGAACGUUAUCCGGAGUUACUGGGCGUAAAGGGCGUGCAGGCGGUCUGAUAAGUUCGGCGUGAAAUUUCCCGGCUUAACCGGGGGAUGUCGUCGGAGACUGUCGGACUAGAGGGUGAUAGAGGCGUGUGGAAUUCCGGGUGUAGUGGUGAAAUGCGUAGAGAUCCGGAGGAACACCAGUGGCGAAGGCGACACGCUGGGUCACACCUGACGCUAAGACGCGACAGCAUGGGGAGCGAACGGG
rnacentral:rRNA from 1 species